UACAGAGGGUGCAAGCGUUAAUCGGAAUUACUGGGCGUAAAGCGCGUGUAGGCGGCUGCGUGUGUCGGGCGUGAAAUCCCAUGGCUCAACCAUGGAAGUGCGCCCGAAACCGCGCAGCUAGAGUCCUGGAGAGGAAGGUGGAAUACUUGGUGUAGAGGUGAAAUUCGUAGAUAUCAAGUGGAACACCGGUGGCGAAGGCGGCCUUCUGGACAGUGACUGACGCUGAGACGCGAAAGCGUGGGGAGCAAACAGG
rnacentral:rRNA from 1 species